rnacentral:rRNA from 1 species
UACCAGCACCCCGAGUGGUCGGGACGAUUAUUGGGCCUAAAGCAUCCGUAGCCGGUUCUGCAAGUCCCCCGUUAAAUCCAGCUGCUCAACAGAUGGGCCGCGGAGGAUACUACAGAGCUAGGAGGCAGGAGAGGCAAGCGGUACUCAGUGGGUAGGGGUAAAAAUCCGUUGAUCCAUUGAAGACCACCAGUGGCGAAGGCGGCUUGCCAGAAUGCGCUCGACGGUGAGGGAGUGAAAGCU